UGCAGGAGGAGCCCGCCGACCGCCUGGACACAGAGCUGCGGCAGCAGGCCAUGAGCGCCAUCGCCGCCAUGAGCAGUGCGUGGCUGCUUCCAGAGAAGCAGAAGAACAGUCUCCUGUGUGCCUGCCUCAGCAGCGUCCUCCACCUCCCCGGCUAUGAGGCUGACACGGACCUGGACAUGGCAACCUACACGGAGACCAUGGAAGCCCUGCACCGCCUGCUGCAGGUGCUGGUGGGCAGCGCCGGCACCUCUGUCCUCAUGGAGCUGCAGAACAUCUUGGAGGUCUGGCUGCGGCAAGGCUGGGAUUUGGGGGAGUGGUUCAAGGCCAUGAAGGGGGGAAUCUAUACGAGGUCGCCCCAGGGCCCGCUGCAGGCAGGGGGUGCUGAUCUGAC
ensembl:lncRNA